CUCUCUCUCUACUUUUUCUCUCUCGACACAAAACAAAAAAAAAAAUCAUCUCCUCCCCUCCGGCACGGUGGCCUCGGCGCCGUCGCCGGUGGCUCUCUCUUAACCCUUCCUCUUUUCUUCUUUGCUUUCCCCUCGCUCUACGUCCUGCAGCUGAUAUGUCGAAGCCCUAGGGAGCUCUGCCGGAAGCUGGCUCUCUGGAUCUGGAGCUCGGUGACAGAUCUAGUCUAUGGUGGCCUUCCCCGGUGUCAAGAUGAGGCAGCAAGGCGUUUUGGUAAGGGGAGAGUCGGAUUUUGGGUGGUGAGUACCGAUGAGCGUUUUUCCCAGAUCUGUCUUGCUUCAUCGGUUACUUCCGCGAGUUGGUGGCGCGUGGGCUUUGGAAGAGUCUCACUCGACUCGGAUCUGUCCUUUCGUCGGUGUGGAGAGGCGGUUGUCUCCGUUAGUUUGUCGCCUUGGUGUCUCGGCUUUGGACUCGGUCUCAACCCCUUUCAAGAUGUGCCUCGGAGGUCCUCGACUUCUAGACGUGCAGCGGUGGUCUCUUCUCUGGCGGUGUCAGAUGCAAGUUUCCUCGAUGGCGCGUGAAGACCUUUGGCUCUCUUGACGCGUGGAGUUGUCUAUGCUCAGGCGUCGGAGAUCCGGUGGUGUUCCUCGGUCUUUGUCUCCUCCAGCCUUCGGUUUAAACAGCAGAGAGCCCUUCUCGGAACUGUGCACCUUCUGUUUUGGGUUUCUCGAGCCGGUUCUUCUUUGUAUCUGCAACUCCGUCCUGUCACCGGUUGUUGCUUCAGCCUAGCCUUUUGAUUCAUCCUCUAGUUUUUAGAGGUGAUGCGUGUGAGAUGGUUGGACCUUCAGGUGGUCUCUGCAGGUUCAUUUUCCUCUCCGUGACGGCACGUUUGGUCUCCGGCUAUCCCAGUGCCUUGUGGGUCUUUGAUCUUCUCGGCAAGUUGGAGUCCAUCAAUGGCUUGCAGGUGCUCGUCUCAGCGUGUUUUUAGCCAGCCACAUCUCAGCCUGUUUUACGGCUUCUUUUGGCCGAAGCGUCUCUGUUUCGGUUCUAGAAAGCCUUCAGUUUAUCUCUUCACUCCCCCUAUCUAUAAAUCAAGUUCAAGUCUCGGGUUAGUGUGUCGAAUACGACCUCUCCGUAUCUCCGUACUGGUCAGGGUCUGCCAAGAGAGACGGACUUGUUGAGGAUGGCGGUUCCCCUUAACUAGUUGGUCUGUUUCGAUUUCCAUUUUUUGAUAGUCGGUAAGAGAAAGAGAGUGUCGUGUGGAUCGAGCAGCUGUGUGU
rnacentral:lncRNA from 1 species